UACGUAGGGUCCAAGCGUUAAUCGGAAUUACUGGGCGUAAAGGGUGCGCAGGUGGUUGUUUAAGUGCGAUGUGAAAGCCCCGGGCUCAACCUGGGAAUGGCAUUGCAAACUGAACGACUAGAGUAUGGCAGAGGGGGGUGGAAUUCCGCGUGUAGCAGUGAAAUGCGUAGAGAUGCGGAGGAACACCGAUGGCGAAGGCAACCCCCUGGGCUAAUACUGACACUCAUGCACGAAAGCGUGGGGAGCAAACAGG
rnacentral:rRNA from 1 species